rnacentral:rRNA from 1 species
AUGGCGCGCGGCGGUCAAGGACAAGGAGGAGGAGGGGUGGAGGAGAGGGAGGUGGUGAACGUGGUGGACCAGGACGGGAGGGAGGAGGAGGUGCGGCGGGCGCUGCCGAUGAUGCCCGUCAGGGUGCUGCUCGCCGAGGGCGACGACUCCACGCGCCACGUCAUCUCCGCGCUGCUCCGCAAGUGCGGCUACCACGUUUCUGCAGCUUCUGAUGGUGUCAAGGCCUGGGAAUUACUAAAGGAAAAAUCGUUCAAAAUAGAUCUUGUUCUCACUGAAGUUGAACUUCCUUUGAUGUCUGGGUUCCUCCUACUCUCCACGAUCAUGGAACAUGACGCAUGCAAGAAUAUUCCUGUCAUAAUGAUGUCUUCGAAUGAUGCAGUUAGCAUGGUUUUCAAAUGCAUGCUGAAGGGCGCAGCCGAUUUCCUUGUCAAGCCGAUACGAAAGAAUGAGUUACGGAACUUGUGGCAACACGUUUGGAGAAAACAACUUGCAAAUGGUGAGAUCGAUGUGCAACAGAUACAACAAGAAGAGAAUGCCCCAGAACAGCACGGGCAAAAGACUGAAGUGACAAAAGCUGAACAUUCAACUCAAAAUGUGGUCCGUAAAAAUAGAGAAUGCAGUGAACAAGAAAGUGACGCUCAAAGUUCUUGUACAAGAUCAGAACCAGAGGCUGAGAGCAAGCACGCCAACAGUUUCUUGGACUUUAAGCAGAUAACAGAAAGGCAAUCAUCUACUGACCCCAAAAACACUCUGGAAAAUAGAGACCCUGAGAACCCUAGUGAUAAUAAGCGCAAGAAAGCCUCGACAGAUAUCGAGGUAGUCCAUAUAGUUGAUGAUGAACCAAAGCCUAGCACACCGAUGGAGGUGGAUAUUGUGAGAACAAACUCUCAAGGAAACGGCGAUAAGUGGUUCUCCAUCCCUGCCCAUCAGUUGGAGCUUUCUCUCAGAAGAUCUGACUAUGGCAGAUCAGAGGACCAAGAGAAAAAUGAUACGAGAACCCUGAACCACUCAACUUCAUCUGCCUUUUCAUUGUACAACUGUAGGCCUAUAUCCUCUUUUGGUAACGCUGGUGAUGCUCAGCCAUGCAGCACCUCAGCAACACACGCAGAUCUGGCAAACAAAAAUGGAGAUUCGGCAGCUCCCUUUCAAGACAAGGCCGACCCAAUUUGCCAUCCUAUCAGAGUUGUAGCACUUCCUGUUCCAGUUGGAGGCCUCACAUUUGACGGGCAGCCAUUCUGGAGUGGUGCACCUGUGGCACCCCUUCUCUAUCCACAGUCAGGUCCUCCUAUCUGGAACGGCAGAACUCCAGUGUCGCAAGAGGCGGACACACAAGCAACUUCAUCGCAGCAGAAGUGUCAACAGAAUGAUCCGACUGAGAUGGACUCUCAGCAGACUGAAAGCACACAGCAGCAAGAAGUGCUACCUCCACCGACCGCAAAUGAAAAGCAUCUGCACGUUGAAAUCCCCUCAGACAGCAACCCUCAGCAGGUUUCACCCAUGGCCGGCGAUAGUGGAAGCGGAAGUAGUACUGUGCUGAACAACUCUGGCAAUGCUCUCAGUGGCAGUGCCUGCGGAAGCUCUUCCAACCGGAUCGCCACCCCUACUGAGCAGUGUAACGCAUCCGACGGUGCUACCGAAAAUCCAAGCAUGGAGGGCUCGCAUCAGCUGAGCCAACGUGAGAUUGCACUGAACAAGUUUCGGCUCAAGAGGAAAGAAAGGUGCUUCGAGAAGAAGGUGCGGUACCAGAGCAGGAAACUACUUGCGGAGCAGCGUCCACGGGUGAAGGGUCAGUUUGUUCGGCAAGAGCAGAACAUCCAAGCAAGGUAG